rnacentral:rRNA from 1 species
UGGGGAAUAUUGGACAAUGGGCGCAAGCCUGAUCCAGCAAUGCCGCGUGAGUGAUGAAGGCCUUAGGGUUGUAAAGCUCUUUCGCACGCGACGAUGAUGACGGUAGCGUGAGAAGAAGCCCCGGCUAACUUCGUGCCAGCAGCCGCGGUAAUACGAAGGGGGCUAGCGUUGUUCGGAAUUACUGGGCGUAAAGGGCGCGUAGGCGGCCUGUUUAGUCAGAAGUGAAAGCCCCGGGCCCAACCUGGGAAUAGCUUUUGAUACUGGCAGGCUUGAGUUCCGGAGAGGAUGGUGGAAUUCCCAGUGUAGAGGUGAAAUUCGUAGAUAUUGGGAAGAACACCGGUGGCGAAGGCGGCCAUCUGGACGGACACUGACGCUGAGGCGCGAAAGCGUGGGGAGCAAACA